rnacentral:lncRNA from 1 species
CAUACGUAGAAAAACUUGCCUUGUAAGUCAAGGCAUGUGUCCUACAAAGUCAACACAUAUUGGAGGUCCUAUAGAACGUCGCCACGUAGCCCCUAGUUAAAUAGUAUAUAUAGAGACAAGAGUGAAGGCUUCUUCACUCUUGUCAACUCUUUUCUUGCUUCUAGUCCAGGUUCAAGAGUCUUUAGUUUCUUGUCUUGUGGCAAUAGCCAUUCCAGUUUCCUUUUAAUAUACCUACUUGUUUAUAUUUUGACUUAUUAUAUCGAGAUAGCCUUUUUGUGUAUAUUUUUCUUCAUCGAGUCUUUGUCCUUGACAGUAUUAGGAAGUUUUUCAAGUUCUCAUAUUGCUUGAAGACAAAGCAAUCCUAAGAAGGUUCUCAAAUAACUUCCUUAAUCUUCUUAGUAUUUUUUAAAAUCUAUUAAAAUAUUCUAAGACUUUCUAAAACUUUAUAAAAAUCUUUUAAAAAUCUUCUAUUAGAAUAUUUUAAAAAUCUUUUAGAACCUUCUAGAACAUGAUAAAAUAUUUUAAAAUAUUUGUAGAAUCUUUUUAUUAGAUGUUUGUAACAAAAGAUAUGUUAUAUGCUUCAUGUAAGGAUAUAUGGAUGGAUAUAUAUAUAUAUAUAUAUAUAUUUAAUUAUUAUAUAUGAUGUUAUUUAUUGAAUAGUUUUAACUACAUACUUUGUGGUAUUUUAUGUCUACUAUAUGAUCCAACUUCAUAUCAAAUAGAUACAUUUUUAUAUAGCAAAUAUUUUUUACUAAAAUUUAUAAAAUAAAUGAUGAAGUAUGGCAAAAAAAUUUGUUGUUAGAUAAAAAAAUUAUAUGUUUGAAUGAUAAAUUAAUUAAAAUAAUUAAAAAUAUAUUGAUACAUAUUCUCAUAGUAUAUGGUUAUAAUAAAAUAUAGAAUUACUACUAAUAUCACAAUUAUACAAUACAAUGAAAUUUAAUACAACAAUAUGGUUUCCAUUACAAACCUAUGAAACAAAAUAAAAACAAAUGUCAUUAGAAUAAUCUUAAGUUGUAAGAUUACAAUAGUUGCCUAUAAUCAAAUC